AACUAACAAAACACUGGGCCGCCUGCAGCGGAGCGCGUGAACUUAACCACUCGGCCACGGGGCCAGCCCCAACAGUCAUUUGAUUUUAAGGGAGAUUACCCUGGAUUAUGUGGGUGGGCCCAGUGUAAUCCCAAGGGUCCUCACCACGGAAAAGAGGGAGGCAGGAGAGUCAGAGAAGGAGAUUUAUGGACAGAAGCAGAGGUGAGAGUGGGCCAACGCAUGUGGGCAGGCAAAGGAGGAAAGAAAGGACAGGAAACAGAUCCUCCCUACAGCCCCAAGAGACGCAGCCUGCAGACUCCCUGACUUUAGCCUUAGAAAUUCACUUUGGACUUCUGGCCUCCAGAACUCCCCAGUGCGUAGUUGUAUGCCCCAGCUGGAGGUCAUUCUACUUCUUCUCUGUGGGAUGGCGCCAGAGCAUGACUUGAUCAGCGGUGCGUGAGUCCACACCCAGGGUCCAAACCGGCGAAGCCGAAGAGAGUGCGGGAACUCAACCUGAGCCAUGGGGCCGGCCCCAAUCUGCGUUGUUUUAAGUCACUUCUUAUUUUGUCCUAAUCUCUGUUUCAUUAUCUAGUUGCUGGUUUCAUUCUUGUCCGGAUCCUCAGUCGAUAUUUGAACCUUACAGCAACUCAAGUAUGUGGUUUAACCCAUUCUGGUCCUGCUCCUAGACCCUUUUUCUGGACUUCAAAUUCAGAACCAAAGAUUUUUUAUUUUUAAGUUUUUAAAUAUAGUAUAGACCCAUAGAUUAUUUUUUAAUAGUAUUUUAAAAUAAUACAUGC
rnacentral:lncRNA from 1 species